UUGGUGCCUUCGGGAACUCUGAGACAGGUGCUGCAUGGCUGUCGUCAGCUCGUGUUGUGAAAUGUUGGGUUAAGUCCCGCAACGAGCGCAACCCUUAUCCUUUGUUGCCAGCGGUUCGGCCGGGAACUCAAAGGAGACUGCCAGUGAUAAACUGGAGGAAGGUGGGGAUGACGUCAAGUCAUCAUGGCCCUUACGAGUAGGGCUACACACGUGCUACAAUGGCGUAUACAAAGAGAAGCGACCUCGCGAGAGCAAGCGGACCUCAUAAAGUACGUCGUAGUCCGGAUUGGAGUCUGCAACUCGACUCCAUGAAGUCGGAAUCGCUAGUAAUCGUAGAUCAGAAUGCUACGGUGAAUACGUUCCCGGGCCUUGUACACACCGCCCGUCACACCAUGGGAGUGGGUUGCAAAAGAAGUAGGUAGCUUAACCUUCGGGAGGGCGCUUACCACUUUGUGAUUCAUGACUGGGGUGAAGUCGUAACAAGGUAACCGUAGGGGAACCUGCGGUUGGAUCACCUCCUUACCUAAAGA
rnacentral:rRNA from 3 species